rnacentral:lncRNA from 1 species
GGUUAGCGGCGUCGAUCUGGGCGAGGAGGUCGUCGACGAUGUCGUUGGCGCGCUUGAGGACGCCGUACGCGAGCGCCGGGAGGCCGGAGGAGUACUUCUGGGAGGUCGGGAGCGGCGCGGCGGGGGCCGAGGAAGGGGAGGCCUUGGCGGAGAUCCUCUCGAAGCCUGAGGAGAGCAUGGAGGAGGCGGUGGUGGCCUCGGCCUGGAGCGCGGCGAGGGACCGCGCGGAGGCGGCGGAUUCCGCCUGGAGCGCAGCGAGCGACCGCGCGGAGGCGGCGGCCUCGGCCUGGAGCGCGGCGACGGACCGCGCGGAGGCCGCGGCCUCGGCGGUGAGUUCAUCCCGCUUGCGGAGCACGUCCUGCGCGAAGGCCUUGAAGCGGGCGACGCGGGACUCGGCCUCCGCGAGGGAGGCCUCGGCCAC